rnacentral:rRNA from 1 species
UACGUAGGGCCCAAGCGUUGUUCGGAUUUACUGGGCGUAAAGGGCGCGUAGGCGGCUCGGUACGUCACUUGUGAAAUCUCUGAGCUUAACUCAGAACGGCCAAGUGAUACUGCAGUGCUAGAGUGUGGAAGGGGCAAUCGGAAUUCUUGGUGUAGCGGUGAAAUGCGUAGAUAUCAGGAGGAACACCUGUGGUGUAGACAGCUUACUGGACCAUUUCUGACGCUGAGACACGAAAGCGUGGGGAGCAAACGGG